rnacentral:rRNA from 1 species
CAAACGACUCUCGGCAACGGAUAUCUCGGCUCACGCAUCGAUGAAGAACGUAGCAAAAUGCGAUACUUGGUGUGAAUUGCAGAAUCCCGUGAACCAUCGAGUUUUUGAACGCAAGUUGCGCCCGAHGCCAUUCGGCCGAGGGCACGUCUGCCUGGGCGUCACGC